AAGAUGGAGCCUACCUACUUAGUUCGGACGAAGUAGAUAGAUCAAAGUAAUGGAAUCCAGGUGGAUCUUAUGCCACUUUUGAUGGUCUCGGAGAUAGAUGGAAAAGCAUUAGAUCGAUGGCUGGGGUAAUUUCAUUCUCACUCCGAGACAUAUUGAUUCGGAUCCCUGGGAACAGAUCUUACAGAAGUAGAUGGCUUGGCUCCACUGAGAGAAUCAUUCUUAAGUUCAGGAGGAAUUACCAUGUCAGAAUUAAUAAUAGGGCUGGUACUACCAGAUACUGGUUUUAAUUAAACAUGGAUUUCCUCCACGGUGCUGGAGUUUGAGGUUAUACUUUCAUCAUCAUUCUUUGCAGAAAUUAUAUUUGUAGUGUGUACAUCCAUAGUACAACAGGCUGGUGAAAAGCAAGAGUUCUGCUGCUCAGAAACUGGAUAUUCAGAAAUACCGGAACCAAUUGCUAACAAAACUGAAUCUGGGGAACGACUCUCCCUUCCUGAUAUAUUUGGGGAAGGAGAGCCUUCAGGCUGACCUGAAACUGCCUUAUUAACUACAGGGGAAUCAACCAUCUUGCGAGGUUAUGGAUGCAGAGGUUUCUUCUUUGGCCAAGGAGAAGAGACUUUCAGUCCCGACCAUCGUCCAAGAGUGGAGUUUGCUCUUCAUAAUAUCCAAACAAUGAAGCUUCGCCAGAAGAUUCAGCAGCAAUGUUUUAACACGAACAAAGAAGAUUUGCAGAAAAAUGACAAUACAAAUGAAUGGGAUACCCACAAUAAACAAUAGAGAAAAUGCAAUGCCACAGGAGAUGCGUUAUCAGUGGCAGAGAAUACCGACGAAGCUAAAACAAGCGUGUCAGAGGUGCCAAUGAUGGAGAUCAACCAAAAAACAGAGGUGUUAAAGUAGCCAUCUGUGCAGAAGUAGACGAGCAGAAGAACAACAAGAAAGGUAAAAAGCUGAGAGAGGAAAAACAAUAGCUAAAAGAGAAUGAAGAAGCAACCAACCACUCUAGAAUGAAGAAGCAACCAACCACGCUGGCUUUGGUAGUGAAAAUUCCGAUAAUGCUGCCCUCUAGGUUGGACAUAAAAAAGAUGUUGUAGUGAGAACAAAGAAGAGGAAGUUUGAGGAUAAAGAACCGACAGAAACAAAAUCAGUGUACAGAACAAGAAAAGGCCAAAAAGAAAAAAGACAUCCUUGGACGAGAUGGAGUAGACAAGCUAGAUAUGCUUAUUGAAAAAUAUACAUCCAAAUUCAGACACAGCAUUUCUAAUCAAACCGAUGGUAACCACCUGCUCUCUAAGCAUCUUAAGAGCUGGUUCCAAUCCUGUACCAUUCUCAAGUUCUUAUGUAGCUUAAUAUUAUGGUGAUAGUAACAACAACUCCGUUGUCGAUUUUGGUUUGUAUUUUGUUGUAUUUCAUCCCUAAAAUAUGUAUUAACAGUUAUAAGUUUAAAAAAUAUGGGACAACACUUUUAAUCAAAGAUUUUCGUCGUUUUGCAA